CCUACGGGAGGCAGCAGUGGGGAAUAUUGGACAAUGGGCGAAAGCCUGAUCCAGCAAUGCCGCGUGAGUGAAGAAGGCCUUCGGGUUGUAAAGCUCUUUUACCCGGGAAGAUAAUGACUGUACCGGGAGAAUAAGCCCCGGCUAACUCCGUGCCAGCAGCCGCGGUAAUACGGAGGGGCUAGCGUUGUUCGGAAUUACUGGGCGUAAAGCGUACGUAGGCGGCUUUGUAAGUCAGAGGUGAAAGCCCACGACUCAAUCGUGGAACUGCCUUUGAGACUGCUUCGCUUGAAGAUGGGAGAGGUUAGUGGAAUUCCGAGUGUAGAGGUGAAAUUCGUAGAUAUUCGGAAGAACACCAGUGGCGAAGGCGGCUAAACUGGACCAUUCUUGACGCUGAGGUACGAAAGCGUGGGAGCAAACAGGAUUAGAUACCCUGGUAGUCCACGCCGUAAACGAUGAUAACUAGCUGUCGGGGCUCUUGGUAGCGUCGGUGGCGCGAGACUAACGACAUUAAGUUAAGUUACCGUCCGUCGGGUAGGUACGGUACCGGCGAACGGUUAAAACGUAACGUAAACUAAGAAGUUAGUACGGACGUGAGACGUACGACCGAACGGACGACGACGAGGGAGUAGG
rnacentral:rRNA from 1 species